rnacentral:rRNA from 1 species
GUAGGGAAUCUUCGGCAAUGGACGAAAGUCUGACCGAGCAACGCCGCGUGAGUGAAGAAGGUUUUCGGAUCGUAAAACUCUGUUGGUAGAGAAGAACGUUGGUGAGAGUGGAAAGCUCAUCAAGUGACGGUAACUACCCAGAAAGGGACGGCUAACUACGUGCCAGCAGCCGCGGUAAUACGUAGGUCCCGAGCGUUGUCCGGAUUUAUUGGGCGUAAAGCGAGCGCAGGUGGUUUAUUAAGUCUGGUGUAAAAGGCAGUGGCUCAACCAUUGUAUGCAUUGGAAGCUGGUAGACUUGAGUGCAGGAGAGGAGAGUGGAAUUCCAUGUGUAGCGGUGAAAUGCGUAGAUAUAUGGAGGAACACCGGUGGCGAAAGCGGCUCUCUGGCCUGUAACUGACACUGAGGCUCGAAAGCGUGGGGAGCAAACAGGAUUAGAAACCCCGGUAGUCC